rnacentral:rRNA from 1 species
GACAGAGGAUGCAAGCGUUAUCCGGAAUGAUUGGGCGUAAAGCGUCUGUAGGUGGCUUCUUAAGUCCGCCGUCAAAUCCCAGGGCUCAACCCUGGACAGGCGGUGGAAACUACCAAGCUGGAGUACGGUAGGGGCAGAGGGAAUUUCCAGUGGAGCGGUGAAAUGCGUAGAGAUUGGAAAGAACACCAAUGGCGAAAGCAACUUUACUGGGCUAUUACUGACACUGAGAGACGAAAGCUAGGGGAGCAAAUGGG